rnacentral:rRNA from 1 species
ACGCUGGCGGCACGCCUAACACAUGCAAGUCGAACGCAGUAGCAAUACUGAGUGGCAAACGGGUGAGUAUAAUGUGGGAAUCUGCCUUUUGGUUUGGAAUAACACGGGGAAACUUGUGCUAAUACCGAAUAAGCCUUUACAGGGAAAGUUUUAACGCCGAAAGAUGAGCCCGCACUUGAUUAGCUAGUUGGUAAGGUAAAAGCUUACCAAGGCAAUGAUCAAUAGCUGUUCUUAGAGGAAGACCAGCCACAUUGGGACUGAGACACGGCCCAGACUCCUACGGGAGGCAGCAGUGGGGAAUCUUGCACAAUGGGGGAAACCCUGAUGCAGCGAUGCCGCGUGAGUGAAGAAGGCCUUUGGGUUGUAAAACUCUUUCGUCGGGGAAGAAAAUGACUGUACCCGAAUAAGAAGGUCCGGCUAACUUCGUGCCAGCAGCCGCGGUAAUACGAAGGGACCUAGCGUAGUUCGGAAUUACUGGGCUUAAAGAGCUCGUAGGUGGUUAAAAAAGUUGAUGGUGAAAUCCCAAGGCUUAACCUUGGAACUGCCAUCAAAACUUUUUAGCUAGAGUGUGAUAGAGGUAAGUGGAAUUUCUAGUGUAGAGGUGAAAUUCGUAGAUAUUAGAAAGAACACCAAAUGCGAAGGCAACUUACUGGGUCACUACUGACACUGAGGAGCGAAAGCAUGGGUAGCGAAGAGGAUUAGAUACCCUCGUAGUCCAUGCCGUAAACGAUGUGUGCUAGACGUUGGAAAUAUAUUUUUCAGUGUCGCAGCGAAAGCAUUAAGCACACCGCCUGGGGAGUACGACCGCA